UACGUAGGGGGCAAGCGUUGUCCGGAUUCAUUGGGCGUAAAGAGCGUGUAGGCGGCCAGGUAGGUCGGUUGUGAAAACUGGAGGCUCAACCUUCAGAGGUCGACCGAAACCAUCUGGCUAGAGUCCGAGAGAGGAGAGUGGAAUUCCUGGUGUAGCGGUGAAAUGCGCAGAUAUCAGGAAGAACACCCGUGGCGAAAGCGGCUCUCUGGACCGGUACUGACGCUGAGACGCGAAAGCGUGGGGAGCAAACGGG
rnacentral:rRNA from 1 species